AUUUCCAUAGUUUAUUAAAAACACUAUACUUUCUAUAUAGAAAAAGAGACCUCUCUUGUAAAUA
rnacentral:tRNA from 1 species